GGGGAGCCGCGCCGCGGCCCGGUGCUCGGCGUUUGGUAGCCGUCGGUAGGCGGCCCGCCCGGUGUGGGGCCGCUGCGCACGCCGAGCUUCCACCUCAGGGCAACGGGCGAUUUCUGCCUCCGCCCGGGCCGGCCGGCGCGGGGUGCGCAAGCGGCCGGUAAAGAUGGCUUCCUUCUCGGCGGGUCGCCUGCCUGCCUGCCGGCUGCUGGCGCGGCCGGGCGCGGGGGGUCCGGCCCAGGGGUUCCGGGGGACGCUGCGGGGGUGCCCCAGCCCGCGGGUCUGUGUGAAUUGGGGGUACCGGGGUGUACUGGCCGUCGGUGGAAGGGCAGGACGGCAGCCCCCGGUGGGGGGCCCGUUCGUCGAGGUACCGGGCUGCGCUCCUGAAUUUCAGGUUGACUUUCGAGGAUGCCGACUUCUUCCUACAGAGAGCAGGUGCAACAAACAGCACCAAACUUUAUUUGGAGCUUGUCACCACUAUUCCUUUACCAGCCAGAUGGGACGCUGUUGAGUGACACAGUGGACUCCACAACCGUGACUGGGAGCAAACAACUUAUCUUCAUAUUAACUUCUUUUAUGGUAUACAUUUAAGAUAUCCAAAGUGUGAACCAGCGCCCCAAGGCACAGUGGUCCUUGGAAGUGGAUCUUCAAGUAGACCAUCAGCAGAGUACUAAGUCCAGGAGCAAUAAUGGAGUUGAGCCUAGAAUUUAAUACACACAAAAAUACAGAAAGCGAGGCCAGCAAAACCCAAGAUUAAACAAGUGACUACUGCAUGGCAACAGCAAUUGAGCUUGAUUUUUUUUUUUAAAUCAGACAAAUUUCUGUACCAAAGCCCCUUUCCUCACCGCAGGCUGCAUAAAGGAAGGAGCAAAAGCAGCUGCAACCACCUCAGCUUCGGAGAUGAGGCUCCCAGUAGUCAGUCCUGCAAGAAAACAUCUGGCCAGCCUUAACGAACAUUAUUUUCUAGAAUGUUCCCCAAGUUCUGCUGGCAGGGAAAUACGCCUGCCUUAUAAGCAAGAAUAUAAAGAGGCAGUUCUCAAAGAGCACAUGGUUUGUCUUGCAAAAGCUUUCCUUAAGGGCAGACUUAAUUAUACAUCAUACAGAUCUAUUAUAUAUUCUGUUUAUACAAUUAUAAAGCAUUAUGGUUAAUUAGUUGUGGUACAGACUCCUGAAGCAGAAUCUGGUUAGAGAAUAAACAAAACGCUCAGUCAGCUGCAACGGUGGUUAACAACUUGCACUUUCAUAUCACCUUUCACACUGAACUCUCUUGAAGUGAUUUGUACGUUAUGCAAUCCAGUGGGCCUGACUUUCAUAUUUCAGGGUUUUUUUGGUUUUAUAUAAAAUUAGAAUAUGCCAAUCUGAAAUGCCCUGGGAUUCUCACACCUUUAGGAAAUUAAAUUCAAGAUAUUCCCUAACCAACUUCAACUGUUUUUCCUGUUUACUGUUGUAGCACCUGAGUGAUCUAGUGGUUAAUCGUGAUCCUAUUACGUCUGGCGCUGUAUAUGCAUGGAACAUACAUACUUCUUCAUCCCCUCUUCCCCUCCUGAUCUAUAUAGCUCUGGCAGCAGUGGGAAUCUCUAUCUGCCUCACUAUUUGAAAAACAGGUGAAAUCCUGAGUGUGAAAAGGUUUUGAUUAGACUGAAGUGUGCAAUACUGCAUAGGUUUGAUUUUCAAACUAUAUUUGUACAUUCUUUUAAUGCAAUGAAAUGGGCUGACAUGCUACAAUAGUAAUGCCUCAAUCCGUCUGACAUCUUUGAACUUAAUUACUCUUUUGCCAUCACAUUAUUUAGCAUAAUAAUGAGUCUUAUUGUUGUGUAUAUGCUACUACAGGUGUCUGGGGAGAAUAAGUGUUUUGGAACUCUCAUCAGUGCCGUGUGAGUAGAGCCAAAAAUUCUUUUGUUGUCUCAUGGGUUAUUGUACUGGUUACCGUGCACACCCAAAAAGGCAGGUCUUAAAGCAAGAGAGCUUGUAAUAUUUAUAAGAGAAACUGAAGUAAAAAACAAGAAGCGAACAAGAGUGAAGUUAAGAGUAUGUAUUUAGCAUAGACUAGAUAUCUAUAGUGCAGAAUGUAGCACACAAUGUAUUUACACAUCUACAAAUAAAUUAAGAAGAGCACUCCCCACAGAAAAUGCUGCAGACCAAUACCAAUUCUCAGUUUCCUGAGAUUUGAGAUAACUUUGAAGGAAGGCUGCAUAGGUUUUUUUACAGGCUGUUUUGGGGAUAGUUUUCUAGAAGAAAGCCUGAAAGACAUGUAUGAAAGAACUUCUGAGAGAAAGAGAUGUACGGGCAACUGAAGAUGGCAUCAUCCACUUGGAACAAUGAACUCCAUAGUAAGAUACAAGAUAAGAUUGUAGAUGAGUGCCCAAUGGAUGCCCCUAACUUGUAUUCAAAAUGUCAGUAAAGCAGAAUGCCAGGGAAAGGAUAAAAACACAGGCUGAUAAAAUCAUAGAAAGAAUUCAGGAAGGUCAUCUUGACUUCAAUGUUUUAGGCUCAAGGGGAAACCAGGUAUGUGUAACAAAAAGUGAAGAACUUGCAUGGUAGGAAUGAAAGUUGCAUUGAUGGAAUCACAAGAAAUCAUCUAAGAAAACAAAGUAGAAUAAGAAGAGGUAAAAAUAAAGCCUGGUGAGAUAUCUGUUGAAAGAGAAAGCUAGGAUGGAGAUCCCCCAUGUCUGACAGAAAGGUUAAGCAAUUGGCAAUGAUUUGGAAAAGAAAACAAGAAAAGAUGAAGACUCAGGAGAGAACAAGAUUUCAGAGUCACAGUAUGAUCAGUAACAUCACAGGCUGUGGAGGUGGAAGGAGUCCUGAGAUUCAGUCACAUCAUUAAUAGCAACCUCAGAAGAGCUGAGUGGAGCGUACACAGCCGAAAUUAAAGACAACUUGGGAGAAGGUGAAGCUGGCAGAAAGCCAUCCGAGGUAAUUGUUUGAGGCAGUGCAUUGUUUUAUUUUAGAAGUAAUAGACAGGAGGAAGGCUCAGCAGAAAUGCAAAAGCAAAAUGAGGUCAAAUGUAGGAUUGUAAAAAAUAUGGAUGAGACAGACAUCCUUCUACGUGUGUUGGGAUGGCCAUGAAGAGUUAAGAAAAACAAAGAACAAGGGAAAAAACCCCAAACAAAUAGAAAAUUACAGGAUUACUGGUAAAGGAGGAGGGGUAAAAUGAAAAUCUGAUAAGAAUUGCCAGGAUAAAGGAUUGGGAGAGAGAGGAAAAAUGGGAGAGUGGAUGAAGGAGAAAGAAUGUUGAUUUGUUGAUUAGAUCUUCUCUUGAAAAAGAAAGAACUGAUAAAGUGGAUAAGAAGACAGCAGAGGUGUGUGAAGAUUUCAGGAGAGUAUAAUUUAAAUUAAAUGUAUUUUACAAAGCAAAUAUAUUUUUAGAUUGUAAAAAUGGAGAAGUCAUUACUUAAUUUGAAUCAAUGUGACAAAUAUGUAAAAAACUUUUUCCAAUCUUAUGUCUGAAGUAUAAAUAGUACUAAGAUCCUCAGGUGGUGACAAAGUUUAAAUAUCAUUAAUUUGUGUUGGAACUGAUUAGUUUUCAAGCAACUACCAGAAAGCCAAUUUUUGUCUUUUGCCGCUCAGGAAAUACGUGUCUGUGUAGAUGAAAACAAAAUGAAAUUUUCAAAAGUGUUACUCCCUAGUAUAUAGUAACAUUUCAGUUAACACAAAGAGAUUUUAAAAAAGGUUAGAAGUCCUAUUCCUGUGUUUUAUGCAAGUGGAAGUCCACUUUUGCUGUUAGUGUUUUGCCAGCUCCCAGGCAUUUCCCUGCUUCCUCCGGAGCCCUGUGAUAAAUAGCCCAUAAACGCCAUUUUGCGUAUCUGCUUAUUAUUCUUACAUACCUAUAAAUUCAGCUUCUUGCUGCUUAAUUUUAGCAGUGACAAUGAUCAGACACAUGGGGGUAGAAAAGAUUUAGAAGCUCGGCUUAUCCAUCCAAUAGUCCAAAAAGCUGGAAUAUUCCAUCCAGUGGAGGUUUAGGUUCCCAAGUAAAACAGCUUUUCUUCUUUCAAGUGGCAAACUUUCCAAAGCAGAGUUCUCAUUUACAAAUUCCCACUGAGUAGUUUAUUAAAUUUAAACUUCAGUAUUUUAUUGCUAUUUUCCAUAUAUAUGUUAGCUAUGCUGAGUAACACUAAAAAUAUCCUACUUUAUUAUACGCAAGUGAAGAAUUUUAAUUGGUCUUAGUUCCUUAGAAGCACUCAAGAACUGGAAUAGCUGUACAAGAGUCUUAUGUACAAGCCACUAUGUAAAGAAUAACUAUAAAGCUUAUGAGAACAGAGGUUCCAUCGGUUUAGCUUUUGCAAUAGCAGUUUAAGUAAUGUAUUUAGAAACUGUAAUACAUCCACUAGCGGGAUCACUUUGAUCCUUUGAUCCAGGCAUUGGGAUGUAUCAAAUGGGGAUCGCUGUGACAUCUGAGCGCCGUCUGAAUACACGCCUCUCACAUUUAAAAGUUUAUAAUAGGCAGGUAGGCCUUUUGUAUUUGUGUACCAGCUUUGUUAAGUGGGCCAGUAGUGCAACACCCUCUUUUUGAGGAUGCCUCAGAGUUUCUUUGGGAAAUGCCUGCUUUUCCCAGAGCUAGCACAGCCCUCAGUAGCCCAGAUGUGUCCCUCAGCCAGCGUGGGCUUUUGGAGCCACUGUCCGUGAUAACAGCUCCACAGUCACGGGGAUAAAAAAUAACUUUGCUUCCCUCCCACCGCCUUUCUACUCCAGUACAGAGGGAAGGAAAGGCUAUCUAGUUCUGAAGCUAGAGAGAGUUCAGGUAAUAAUAGCAUUUUAGGAAUAACUUAUGAAGAUACAUGUAUUUCAGGCAGUUCCCACCUGCCCGUAAAUCAUAGCUUGUCGUGCAUCACUCCCCACAGCAGCCUUACACGCUCGGUAGAAAAGUACUGGGCUGAGCCUACAUAUAAACUAAAACUUGACAUGUUCAAAAAGUAGCAUAAAUUAAAAUUACAGAACAAGCUGUUAUAAGACAUUUAGGUUUGUCGUGAAACUACCAUUUUCUUUCAAGAUGUGCAGCAUACUCACGAGCACACAGCAGCAGCUCCAGAAAACAUCGUCCUCCAACAUUCCAGCUUUUGUGGGUGUGCUUUAAUUAAAAGGAUUCUGCAGAACAAGGAAAACAGAAUCUUUAGAAGAAAAAAAUUGAUUAUAAAAGCACACUGUUAUGAAUUCAUAUAGAUUCAGAGAGAAAAGGGAGUGCUUAUAGUAAUUAAAUUAUGGGAUUUUAAGAAGACCAAGGAAGUUAUUCUGUUAUAUAUCAGAAGUUUGGAAAGAGAAAUCUUGAUUUUGAUCUACUGUUAUCAAAAUAACAACGGUACAUUGAUAGAAUAACAACAUAAUAAGGAUGUCCUGAAACAGGCCAUAGCUUAUUUAAGGAAGAAACUUCUACAAGAAAUUAAUUGGAAGAUAAGGGUCAGAUUUAUAUCCCCAUUUUAUUUUCCUCAUGAGAUACUGAGCGUAUGAUAUACACAGAGAAAUGUGUAGCUAUUUGCACCAAUAAAACAUGUAAAUGGAUUUCCUAUGAGAUGCUUUUUCAUGCUUUACAAAAUCAAUCCGAAAUGGUUCUAAUUAUAUAUGAUUUCUUAGAACAUGUCUUUGGUAGUGGUUAUGGCACAUUUACUCUGGAAAGGCAAAGAACUCCUAAGGUAAUUCUGCCCUUUUGAAGUGUUCAUUUGUGAGUAUCCUUAUUGCUGGUAUUACGUAGUACGCAGUUGUCCUGUUGUAAUUUUUAGCAGAACGGAUAUUUCCAGUCUCUCAGUCUACAUUAAAAUCAUCUUUCAUUUCUUGUGUGAGACUAAUACUGCUCUCCACUCAGUGGACUUGCAUGGAUUAUCAAUGGAAACACAGUGUCUGCUGUGCUUCAGGUGGCAUUAGAUCGGAUUAACUGAAGAAGGAAUUGAGUCUUCAAAGUUAAUUAAAACGUUGUUGAUGAUGACCAGGAAGGCGUACUUAGAAGCUAUAGGUAAAGAGAUUUAGAUGCUCAACAUGGGGCGGUCGUGCCCAGGCUUUCAAGCUCCUGAUAUAUGGAAGAAAAAUGCUUCUGGUUUCUUGCGGCGGCAAACCUGCCAGCUAAACGCCGAGUGAAGUAUAGCUGCUUUGGCUUCCCCCAGAGGCUCCCAUCUUCUCCUUCCUCUGGAGGCCCCAUCUUCUCAGUCUGUUGCUGCUACAUCUUUAAUAAGAUCAAUAAUCUUCCUCGGGUUUAGCAGCUUCAUGAAUUCUGAUUAAGCUCCAUGACAGUGGCUGUGUAUUAAGAAUAAUAGGCAAGAAGAAGACUUUAGUGUCUCAAUCCAUGAGGCAUGAUAGUUUCUUCUUUAGGCAAACUGAUAUUGAUUUGAUCUUGGGUUUUAUCAGCAUGGCCUCUGUAAAUAAAGUGCUAGCACACAGUACACUUACUGUACGGCUCCUCUUCCCUGCAGACCAAUUCUUUCUGAUGAAGUCUUACUUUAAUUGUUCCAUGCCUACUAAUGUCUUUAAUCAAGGCUCACGUGGCUAAGUCUUCAGUGAGAAAAUUUGACAUGCUUACAAGAAUUAAUACAGUAAGAAUUCACAAAGGUACAAUUAGGAGCAAAAAAUCAGAAUGGUCUCUAGCACUGCCUUUCAACCAAACACCGGUGUGUGAGUUUCUGCAUGACAUUAAAAUUCAAUUAAGUAUUUGGGGGGAAAAAAGCCUGGCACUGACAGGAUACGUCAUCUGAGCACAGGAAGCUGUGCUGACAAAAAUUCAUAACGUGGAAAUUGGAAACCCAUACUCUGAAGCUUUCCUGUAUUAACAUUUUAAUGUCCAACUAUGUAAUAUAUAAUUUAUGAGAAUUCUCUAAUAUGAUCCAGCCUUGCAUAUUUUGCAAUUUGUUAUUCUUAUUUAGAAAGAAGUGAAGACCAAAAGACUCUCUCUGAUUUCUGAAGCCAUUUUAAAUCAUUUUUAAUAUAUACGUCUCCACUUUGCAAACACGUAUUUUCAGUCCUCACUAAGUGGGUUCAUUUGGGCUUUCUUCUUGGCCACUGUUUUCCUUUUGAAGACAGGGAAACGUUUGGGGGAAUUAGACUUUUGAGUGGGGAAGAUGAUGCAAUUGUGCAGAAAUGUAGACAGAAUUCUAUUGUUGCUCCACUGUUUUUUGUGAAAGUGUCAUCUAAAUGCAGUUCUGGAAGAACUCCUAUUGUCAACUUUUGGGAUUUGAUCUAGCCAAAAACAUCCACAAGUACUCUCUUCAUAUGCUGAAUGUUUUGUUUUCUAUAGUCUUGUAUAUACUCUGUGUUUUAAAAGUGGAUUUCUUUGUUGCUUAUGGUCCUGCUUAUGGUACUACAGGAUACCUGUCUGGGUUUUGCGUAUUUAAAACCUUUAAUUUCUGCUGCUUUUUCUGAAAUGGAUUACAUGGAAGAACAUUCUGUAAAACUUA